rnacentral:rRNA from 1 species
AGCGAACGCUGGCGGCAGGCCUAACACAUGCAAGUCGAACGAACCUUUCGGGGUUAGUGGCGGACGGGUGAGUAACACGUGGGAACGUGCCUUUAGGUUCGGAAUAACUCAGGGAAACUUGUGCUAAUACCGAAUGUGCCCUUCGGGGGAAAGAUUAAUCGCCUUUAGAGCGGCCCGCGUCUGAUUAGCUAGUUGGUUGAGGUAAUGGCUCACCAAGGCGACGAUCAGUAGCUGGUCUGAGAGGAUGAUCAGCCACAUUGGGACUGAGACACGGCCCAAACUCCUACGGGAGGCAGCAGUGGGAAAUCUUGCGCAAUGGGCGAAAGCCUGACGCAGCCAUGCCGCGUGAAUGAUGAAGGUCUUAGGAUUGUAAAAUUCCUUCACCGGGGACGAUAAUGACGGUACCCGGAGAAGAAGCCCCGGCUAACUUCGUG